CAGAGAGGUCACACACCUGCAGUCAGCAAACUGCAAGCCCAGCUGCUUAUAGAUAACACUGUGUUGAGAAGGUGACUCAGCGGAAGAGAACAAAGAUUGAUUAGUGAUGUCUGCACAUACAAACAUAGGAGGUUUGCAGUUUUAAUGUGGUCUGUGUGCAGCUGCAUGACUGGCCCCUGCUUAGAACUCCAGGGUCCUUUCAUCUGCUUUCUCACAAGUUCUCCACAUUCCAAGCCACAGGCCUCCUCUAUGAGGCGGCAAUUAACACACUAAAUGCAGCAGAGAAGCUGAGAAGAGCGUACUUAAAGAUCUUCAGGUUUCUUUCCAUUAGUGAAUGACAGAAACAACAAAAAAACACCUUUUAUGGUGGAUGGAUAAAUGUGGAAGCCAGAUUGAUAGAGGUUAAAGGGGUCAAAGAGAUUCUUCUUUCACACACCCUAACUCUCCUUUGUAAUCUAUUUCAUUCGGUUUCACUUCCAUGAAGAUGAAAAAGACAGUACAAAGCAAUGUUUCUUUGCUUGUUUCUGCCAAUUUUCUGUAGAAUAAAAGAUAACAACAUUCAAACAAUAUCGA